UUCCCUACGGGGGGCAGCAGUAGGGAAUAUUGGUAAUCUGCGAAAGCGGGAACCAGCAACGCCGCGUGCGCGAUGACGGCCUUCGGGUUGUAAAGCGCUUUUCAAGAGGAAGAGGAAGGACUGUACUCUUGGAAUAAGUCUCGGCUAACUACGUGCCAGCAGCCGCGGUAACACGUAGGAGGCUAACGUUAUCCGGAUUUACUGGGCGUAAAGCGCGUGCAGGCUGUUCGGUAAGUUGGGCGUGAAAGCUCCCGGCUCAACUGGGAGACGUCGUUCAAUACUGUCGGACUAGAGGAUGGUAGAGGGAGGUGGAAUUCCGGGUGUAGUGGUGAAAUGCGCAGAUAUCCGGAGGAACACCAGUGGCGAAAGCGGCCUCCUGGACCAUUCCUGACGCUCAGACGCGAAAGCUAGGGUAGCGAACGGGAUUAGAUACCCCGGUAGUCC
rnacentral:rRNA from 1 species